CAUAAGGAUAAUAGGCCUAGCAGAUGAUUAAGUCAAAAUUAUUGAAGUGAUAAGGUUUUCAUAAGUCAAAAAGUGAAAUGAUAAGGUGAAAUGUGUCAAAUUUUGAUACAUUAAGGCCAAAUCAUUGAAAAUAAAGGAUUGUCAUCAACCUUAUCACUUUCCACGACCAAAGACUCUAAAAAAUAGAGAGAAAAGAAAACCAAAAACAUUUAUUGGCUGGCUUGAAGAGAUUCUAAGGAGAUCCAAGUUAAAUCAAAUCCAAAGAAGUGGAUUAAGCUUAGUUUUGGCCUUUUUAUGGAUAAGCACAUCAACACCUAAGACACCACUUGUUACACGGUGAAAUAUCUUUUGGACAGAAGGUAGAGAAAGAAAUGAGUGAAUGACAAAGGAGAACUAAAGCAUGGUCCUGACCCUGAUUUGUACAUAUGAACAUAUCGACCUUUUGUGAGUUAUUUUAGUUUAUCAGUGUGUAUGUUUGUAAUAAAGUGUGAAGUUAUGUUUUGAAAACAAAUUGGGUUAUUUAAUACUUAUGUAUAAUAUGUUUGAGACACACUUUAUGUUUAAUGUACAUAAUGUGAAAUAAGUUUUCUUUU